GAUGAAGAACGCAGCGAAAUGCGAUAAGUAAUGUGAAUUGCAGAAUUCAGUGAAUCAUCGAAUCUUUGAACGCACCUUGCGCCCUUUGGCCAUUCCGAAGGGCAUGCCUGUUUGAGUAUCAUGAACACCUCAACUCUUCAUGGUUUUCCAUGAUGAGCUUGGACUUUGGGGGUCUUGCUGGCCUGUGGGUCGGCUCCUCUCAAAUGAAUCAGCUUGCCGGUUUUUGGUGGGCAUCACAGGUGUGAUAACUAUCUACGCUUGUGGUUUUCCACCAGGGUAACCUUCAGCAGUGGAGGUUCACUGGAGCUUACAAAUGUCUCUCCUCUGUGAGGACAGCCCUUUGAAUGUUUGAUAUCAAAUCAGGUAGGACUACCCGCUGAACUUAAGCAUAUCAAUAAGCGGAGGA
rnacentral:misc_RNA from 1 species